UUUUAGCCCUGAUAGAAGCGAUAUCCUUUUGUUCCGCCGCGACGGAUUAAAGAUAAAGCGUCCCGAAACUUCGGGAGCAGGAAAUAGC
rnacentral:sRNA from 1 species